AGAGAGAGACAUGCGCGCAUAUCAAUAAGCGGAGGAAAAGAAACUAACUAGGAUUCCCUUAGUAACGGCGAGUGAAGCGGGAAGAGCUCAAAUUUGAAAUCUUCAAGGGUUUACCUUUACGAAUUGUAGUUUAAAGAAGUGUUUUCUGUUGAAGUUUUGGUAAAAGUUCUUUGGAAUAGGACAUCAUAGAGGGUGAGAAUCCCGUAUUUGACCAUUAUUUUCAGCUGUGUGAUACACUUUCAAAGAGUCGGAUUGUUUGGGAAUGCAGUCCAAAAUGGGUGGUAAAUUUCAUCUAAAGCUAAAUAUUGGCGAGAGACCGAUAGCGAACAAGUACCGUGAGGGAAAGAUGAAAAGAACUUUGAAAAGAGAGUUAAACAGUACGUGAAAUUGUCAAAAGGGAAGCGUUUGACACCAGUGUUGUUUUUCUGAAAAUCAAUUAAAAAGGGCAGGAUUUUGUGUUGUAUUGACUUUAUCAGCUUUCUGCACUCUUUUCUUGUCUUUUUUAAUGCACUUUUCGUUUAACAAGUCAACAUCAAUUUCUUUUGUUGUAAAAGGGUCAUUGGAAGGUGGCUUUCUUUUCGGAGAAAGUGUUUAUAGCCUUUGGCCUCUGCAAUCGGAGAGAUUGAGGUCUGCAGCGUAGAUCCUUCGGGGUUAGAUACAUUUGUGCUAAGUUAUAGCCUUUCAUAGACAACUUGUUGACUAUGAUCAGUCAUGUAGCUUACUCGCUUAUGCUAUUUUACCUACGCUUAGGAUGUUGAUGUGAUACUGCGAGCA
rnacentral:rRNA from 1 species